GAUGAAGAACGUAGCGAAAUGCGAUAAGUAGUGUGAAUUGCAGAAUUCAGUGAAUCAUCGAAUCUUUGAACGCACAUUGCGCCCCUUGGUAUUCCAUGGGGCAUGCCUGUUCGAGCGUCAUUUGUACCUUCAAGCUUUGCUUGGUGUUGGGUGUUUGUCCCUCGGGACUCGCCUUAAAGUCAUUGGCAGCCAGUGUUUUGGUUUUGAAGCGCAGCACAAGUCGCGAUUCAAGGCUAUCCGCCCGCUUCCACAAGCCUUUUUCACUUUUGACCUCGGAUCAGGUAGGGAUACCCGCUGAACUUAAGCAUAUCAAUAAGCGAGGA
rnacentral:misc_RNA from 1 species